rnacentral:rRNA from 1 species
AGCGAACGCUGGCAGCAGGCCUAACACAUGCAAGUCGAACGAAGUCUUCGGACUUAGUGGCGGACGGGUGAGUAACACGUGGGGACGUGCCUUUAGGUUCGGAAUAACUCAGGGAAACUUGUGCUAAUACCGAAUGUGCCCUUCGGGGGAAAGAUUUAUCGCCUUUAGAGCGGCCCGCGUCUGAUUAGCUAGUUGGUGAGGUAAAGGCUCACCAAGGCGACGAUCAGUAGCUGGUCUGAGAGGAUGAUCAGCCACAUUGGGACUGAGACACGGCCCAAACUCCUACGGGAGGCAGCAGUGGGGAAUCUUGCGCAAUGGGCGAAAGCCUGACGCAGCCAUGCCGCGUGAAUGAUGAAGGUCUUAGGAUUGUAAAAUUCUUUCACCGGGGACGAUAAUGACGGUACCCGGAGAAGAAGCCCCGGCUAACUUCGCGCCAGCCGCCGCGGUAAUAC